UAUUUUACAGUCCAAGGAAUCAAUUAAUUAGUGCCU
rfam:Rattus norvegicus chromosome 7, whole genome shotgun sequence.